GAGGGUACAACUCAAGUGGUAGAGCACAUGCUUAGCAUGCAUGAGGUCCUGGGUUCAAUCCCCAGUACCCCCU
rfam:Camelus ferus unplaced genomic scaffold scaffold726, whole genome shotgun sequence.